rnacentral:rRNA from 1 species
GGCGGACGGGUGAGUAAUGCUUGGGAACUUGCCUUUGCGAGGGGGAUAACAGUUGGAAACGACUGCUAAUACCGCAUAAUGUCUUCGGACCAAACGGGGCUUAGGCUCCGGCGCAGAGAGAGGCCCAAGUGAGAUUAGCUAGUUGGUAAGGUAAAGGCUUACCAAGGCGACGAUCUCUAGCUGUUCUGAGAGGAAGAUCAGCCACACUGGGACUGAGACACGGCCCAGACUCCUACGGGAGGCAGCAGUGGGGAAUAUUGCACAAUGGGGGAAACCCUGAUGCAGCCAUGCCGCGUGUGUGAAGAAGGCCUUCGGGUUGUAAAGCACUUUCAGUUGUGAGGAAAAGUUAGUAGUUAAUACCUGCUAGCCGUGACGUUAACAACAGAAGAAGCACCGGCUAACUCCGUGCCAGCAGCCGCGGUAAUACGGAGGGUGCGAGCGUUAAUCGGAAUUACUGGGCGUAAAGCGCACGCAGGCGGUUUGUUAAGCUAGAUGUGAAAGCCCCGGGCUCAACCUGGGAUGGUCAUUUAGAACUGGCAGACUAGAGUCUUGGAGAGGGGAGUGGAAUUCCAGGUGUAGCGGUGAAAUGCGUAGAUAUCUGGAGGAACAUCAGUGGCGAAGGCGACUCCCUGGCCAAAGACUGACGCUCAUGUGCGAAAGUGUGGGUAGCGAACAGGAUUAGAUACCCUGGUAGUCCACACCGUAAACGCUGUCUACUAGNCUGUUUGUGACUUUAAGUCGUGAGUAGCGAAGCUAACGCGCUAAGUNAGACCGCCUNGGGGAGUACGGCCGCAAGGUUAAAACUCAAAUGAAUUGACGGGGGCCCGCACAAGCGGUGGAGCAUGUGGUUUAAUUCGAUGCAACGCGAAGAACCUUACCUACACUUGACAUGCAGAGAACUUUCUAGAGAUAGAUUGGUGCCUUCGGGAACUCUGACACAGGUGCUGCAUGGCUGUCGUCAGCUCGUGUCGUGAGAUGUUGGGUUAAGUCCCGCAACGAGCGCAACCCUUGUCCUUAGUUGCCAGCCUUAAGUUGGGCACUCUAAGGAGACUGCCGGUGACAAACCGGAGGAAGGCGGGGAUGACGUCAAGUCAUCAUGGCCCUUACGAGUAGGGCUACACACGUGCUACAAAUGGCGUAUACAGAGGGUUGCGAAGCCGCGAGGUGGAGCUAGUCUCACAAAAGUACGUCGUAAUCCGGAUUGGAGUCUGCAAACUCGACUCCAUGAAGUCGGAAUCGCUAGUAAAUCGUUGAAUCAGAAAUGUCACGGUGAAUA